GUGGCUGGACAGAGAAUUUUUUAACAAUGUAAGGGCUCCGCGUCACAACCGUUAACCUUUUGUAACGGCGUUAGUGUGAAGAUUGAAUUGAUGAGGAUAAAAAAGACUUUAUACACAUUAUGUAUUACAGUAUUACAUAAUAAUAGAGAGCCGCAUAUCAUUUCCCUCCAAUUCAGUUGCCUCCCACGAUCAUUUCUAAAACCCAAAACUAUAGAACCCUAAUUGGUCAUCAACUGGAUUGAAAUGAGCUGGGGUGUUCGUCUCAAAGAAGAUGCAGAUUGUGUAUAAACCGAGUGAAUGUCCCGGUUAUAGAGAGGAAGAAUAUUUUACUAUUAAAAUGUUUCAUGGUGGAAAAUGAGUGAAGAUCCUAAGGUUUAUAAAGGGGGACAGGUUGAUUAUAUAGACUACUGUAGUGUGGAUCACAUAAGCUUGAUUGAAAUAGUUGCAGUGGUUAAAGAAUUUGGUUAUAGUGGGUAUUUCAAGUUAUGGUAUAAAUUGCCUUAUACGACAAUGGAUACAUGGCUUUUUGAACUUGUUUAUGAUGAUGAGGUUAUGCUCAUGUGUACCUUACUGCCAAAGGAUAGGUACGUGGAGAUAUAUGCGCAAAGUACUGAAGUAUUGAGUCAAUCAACUCCAAAUGUCAACUUUGAUGAUGUACAAGUUGAGUUUGCAGAUGACAGGGAGAAGGUAGCGUUAAACAAGGUAGUAAAAGUCAGGGUAGGAGGUCUAUUAUGGUGAUUUUCCAUUCGAAUUUUGUGAAAGUACACAAAUAGAAGAAUAACAGCUGGAUAGUAUUAGAGAGUUAGAAGGAUUAGAUGAUGAGGAAAUGGAACACAUGUUUGAAGGACAUGGAGACCCGUACACUGAUUGCUGUGAUUUUAGUGAUGGAGAACAUGAGCCAGCAUAUCCAUCCACUGAGGAUGAAUCCUUCCAUUCAGAUGACUCAAACAAAGACCAUAGUGAUGAUCCAACACCUGCAAUUUUAAAGACACCAAUAAAGUGCAAAUUAUGUGUAGGGGCUGGACAUAAUUCAAGAACUUGUUCACUGAAGAAAACUAAAGACUCAGCUGCAACCGGAAGAGCUAACACAGCCUCACCUCCAAGGUUUAAAAGUACUGUAAGGAAGAAGAGUAUCCCUGUUUCUGAAGCUACUGCAAGAAAGAAGUUUAUUCCCUUCUGCAGUGCAACUGCAAGGACAAACAUUCCUGAAGCUACAGGAUCCACUUCAACACAGGCUUCAACUUCAAAUUUGCAGUGCAAGAGGAAGCCUGUGACAACAUUUCGGCAAAUGAUCGCUGCAAGAAAGGCUCCAAAAAACAAAGCACCAUAAUCUCUAAUUUUAUCUCCUAUUUUGGCCACUUUUUAUGUGUAACUUUGGAAAAAAUUAUCACCGAUGUAAUCAGUA